CUGUGAUCAAAGCAAAGGGAGGUGAAGAUAAGGUAUAUAAGCACUGGAUUUCCCUCUCAAAGACACUCUGCUACCUGCUACUGCUGCAAGUGCAAACUCACCUGAUCGUCACAACAAGAUGGGUCUUGGUAUCAUUCCUCUCUUCACGGCUACGGCCUGUGGAAUGUCACUUGAACCAGGUCUCAUGGCUAUAAUCCCCCUCUGCUCUGGGGAAUACUGAUGGGAGCACAUGCAUCCGACACAUCUACAGGGAGAGAUGAUGGCAGCCAUAGCGACUGUGAUGGGAAGGCCUCCUCUUUCUGUGCCAGGCACCUGUGAAGAUCCCCACCAGGUGCUGACACACGUGCCAUCAGGAUCCCCACUGAUGAUGUCACUUCCAGCAGUAUGACAUCACUGCUGGCAAAUCUAUUGACAGUUCUGAUGAAAUUUCAGCACAAUCAAUAAACAGAUGCAAACUCCCCAA